rnacentral:rRNA from 1 species
UCGGGAAUUUUGGGCAAUGGGCGAAAGCCUGAUCCAGCCAUGCCGCGUGUGUGAAGAAGGUCUUCGGAUUGUAAAGCACUUUAAGUUGGGAGGAAGGGCCAUUACCUAAUACGUGAUGGUUUUGACGUUACCGACAGAAUAAGCACCGGCUAACUCUGUGCCAGCAGCCGCGGUAAUACAGAGGGUGCAAGCGUUAAUCGGAAUUACUGGGCGUAAAGCGCGCGUAGGUGGUUUGUUAAGUUGGAUGUGAAAUCCCCGGGCUCAACCUGGGAACUGCAUUCAAAACUGACUGACUAGAGUAUGGUAGAGGGUGGUGGAAUUUCCUGUGUAGCGGUGAAAUGCGUAGAUAUAGGAAGGAACACCAGUGGCGAAGGCGACCACCUGGACUGAUACUGACACUGAGGUGCGAAAGCGUGGGGAGCAAACAGGAUUAGAUACCCGAGUAGUCCCUGAGCGGGCUGGCAAGGCGCAU